UCAGAAUGGAGGGAAAAAAGAUGUGAUCUCAGUGACUUUGACCCUGGCAUGAUUGUUGGUGCCAGACAAGCUGGUUUGAGUGUUUCUGAAACUGCUGAUCUCGUGGGAUUCUCCACAGCAGUCCACAACAGUCUCUAGAGUUUUUACUCAGGAUGAAGCAAAAAACAGAAAACAUCCAGUGAGCAGCAGUUCAUGUUGAUGAGAGAAUGGCCAGACUGGUUGGAGCUGACAGACAGGCUGCAGUAACUCAGAUAACCACUCUUUACUACUGUGGUGAACAGGAAAGAAGCCUGCUGUAGUUCCUCCACCCUUCAGGUGGCAGCAGCUGAAGACCACGUCGGCUUCCAAUCCUGUCAGCCAAGAACAGAAAUUUGAGGCUGCAGUGGACACUGGCUCACCAAAAGUGGAGAGUUCAGGACUGGAAAAAUGUAGCCUGGUCUGAUGAAUCUGGAUUUCUGCUGAGGCAGCAGGUGGUCGGGUCAGAAUUUGGCAACAACAGCAUGAAUCCAUGGACUCAACCUGCCUCGUGUCAGCAGUCCAGAUUAAUUGAAGGAGUACGAGGAGGAGGAUGGGAAGAGGAUGAGAGAAGGAGGAAAGGAUUACAGUGUGAGCUGCAAACGAAUUUCAUUUCUUAAGUGAAAAUGUUACUGCUCCUCCCAACCACACCCCUGCUCAACAGAUCAGAGAAACAGGCCGACAGUUCCAGUUGCAACAAUGAUCGUCCUGUGUUGCCAGCAUCUAAUCCUGAAUAACAUCUGGACUGUGUCCUGCUUACAUAACUUCCUGCAGGAGUUCUUAGGCACCACCCUCUUCCUGUCCGCUAGCAUAUCAGAAUGUCCAGAUGCUGCUAGCAGCUGGAAGACCAGGACCGAAUCUGAAGUCUGCAAUCAACCAGAGCAACCUCUGCUCUAGACUUAGCUGGACUCGUACCACAAGUCAUACCUAGAAAUUCACAUACUUGAAGCCAUCAUUUUAUAUUUGUUUUAUGUACAAACUUCACUUUUAAAAAAAUCUAAGUAAGCAGGGAGACAGCUGUUCCCUAUGUCUGUCCCUCUGCCUCUCUCAGGUGAGUGCGACAUGUUGUGGGAUGAACCCGACUUGGUCAUUCGGUCCAGCUUUCUCCCACACACAGCGUCACCCUCAGGCUGAACUCUUAUCGUUGGUUUUUCUGCAGGUGUACAGGGCAGGGCCUGGUCUGGAGGCACGUCUCGCCGCUCUCCUGAACAACCUGUUACUAUGGCGAGGGUAACCCUGGAGAUUGAUGGUGCCUGUAAAGACGUGACAGGAAACGAGGGAGAGAGAUGCAACAAAGGUCUCCAUCCAGGCCUGAACCUGUACACUGUGGUCUACAGGCGGCAUCCUAACCCCCAAGCCACGGGGUUGCUGUAUAUGGACUAGUGAUGACGAAAAAAAAAGGACAAAUCCUCUUUACAGAUUAUUUUUCCAGUUUGAUAUGUCUCAGGCCGGACAGUGAGACUACUUCUAUUGUCAUUAGUGUUGAUAAUUGUUUUUAUAUUGAUCUAAAUAUUUAUAUUGCCUUUAUUUCUUGCUUCUGCUGCAGUCAUGAUACAGCAAACACACGGCAAAGUCUAUUUUUGUUGUUUAAUAAUAAAACAUUAAACACCAGUAGCAUUAACACAA